GUCAAGUCUUUAUAAUAAUAAAAAACACACGACAGAACAAAACUUAAAAAUUAUAACCCUAAACUGCAUACAUUAUUUGUACCUUACUGGCCCAUUUACAAUCUCCUGUAGUGUAUUAGAAGGAAAGUCGUUUGAUAACCCAUUCUUUCUUAAUUUUUUCAAAAAUAAUUUAGGCUUAACCAUGCCCAAACGAAAGUUCUGAGAUGCGUACACGACCAGGAAAUGUUGUACUUAAAUCUCUACUAUCUCUAAAUCUCUAAAAAGAGGAAAAAAAUUCUAAAGACGAUGUCAGCCGCAAUUCCGAAGUUUUAACAGCCGAAAAAAUGAGGUUAUGGGGUUUAACAAAUCUGCACAAAGUUAUAUAUGUUACCAGGAUCAACAAGAUUUCAAUAUGAUAAGCACAAUAAUAGCAAAAGAAAACUAUGCUACAUAGUAGCAAAAUAUUAACAGAGAUGAGCAUCCACAAACUGAACAUUUCGGAUUUUACCAUUAAAUACUGAUCUGACUCUAAAUCUAAGUAUCAUCAAACAAAGAAAAUCCACCACCUGCAGUUCGUUAUUUAAAUAACCACCACAUACAAAUUGGAACAUCAGAAUUUAAAUCUCCUUCUAUGUAUUAAGCAGCGCUACAUGGCUAAAAAUGUUCGCAUAAAAAUUACACUGACAGAAAUAGAAAAUGCAUCUUAGUACCAAUCGAUCAAGCUUCAAAAGUUAAUUCUAAAUGAAAACCCAACUUAAUACUGCGGUUAAGGAGAAAAAUAACCACCGAUAGAUGUCACAACUCUAAAAAGAGAUCUCCAAAACGGUGCAUAUUGGUAGGAUCUAUAUUAAACCAUAAGAAAUCCAAUAAAUACCAUCAGAUAUAACAGGGUUCCGAACUGAGUGACCUGCUAGAAGCGCCUCCGUCGCACCCACAUCUCCCAUCGGCAAGGAAGUUCCAAGUCGCAGACAGGCGGCAAGGAAGUGGCCCUCGGUGGCAAGCUUUCAUCAUGUGGCAGCAUAUUCAUCUUCUUCACAAUCUACUAACAACGAAAUAGCGGGGAACACACAUACUAGAAACAAAUACAACCCCGGACAUCGGGGUAACUUGGAAUAAAUACAAAUUUAACUAAUGAGUAAAAUGAUCCGAUAGUUCGAAAGAAUACACACGAAAGAUCUUAUCCGCCUCAUAAAUACAGUUCGAUUUGAGAAUUUAUUUAACAAGGCAAAAUAGAGCAUAGACUAAGACUUCAAAAGAUCUUCAAUUCAGCUUGGUCGGGGUUGUGGAGAUGGGGAAGGGUGAGGAUUGGGGGGUAAAACAUGAUUGAUUAUUCUGUUAAUGAGUAUAUAAUUGUACUACAACUUGAUAUAAAAUAUUAAUCAGGCGAGAUGUGCCAACUCAAAUGCAAGCAUCAAUUGUUAAAAUAUGUAAACUUUACUUUACCUUUGCAAAGACGGUAGGAUUGACAUGUAACUCCUCAUAUUGCAAAAACUUAGCAUGUCGCGAGUUCGUUCAGGUCAAAUGAUAUGACGAGAGAAGUGAAUCUGUCGGUUGAAGUUGCAGAAACGAACGGAGAGAAAGAGAGCAAGAGGGAAAACACACCAGUGAGAGAAGACCCCGGGCAAUCCCCGUGCGGUCUCCCCUCAAAACCAAAACAUACUA
rnacentral:misc_RNA from 1 species